GCCUCGCGGGGGGUGCCUCCUCCCCCUGCGAUGGGGGUCGUAAGAGCCACUGGGGGAAUAGGGGCUUGCUCUCAGUCACCGCCUCGCGGGGGGUGCCUCCUUUCCUUUCUACAUAGACACAGUGACAGUCUGAUCUCUCUUUCUUUUCCCUACAGAUGGACACGCCCCCACUGAUAUUGUUUUUAAUGCAGCGUGGGAGGGGAGGAUAUGACACGCGAUAUCGCAGCCUCCCAAAGUGCUGGGAUUGCAGGUGCGAGCCACCGGGUCCAGCCUCUCAGGCGAUUUUCAUACCUGCAUACUCUGAUCACUACUCUGUUAAACAGUCAAGGAGGCUGAGUGCCACGUGCUGACGUCACUAAGAUCAAUACAGCAAACUCUGAAAGAUGGACAGAGAGACAGGAGAUGGUCCUUUAUAAUGCAGUGUGAUCUGUGCUGCAAUAGAGAUGGAAGAGUGUUCUGAUUGGCUGGAAAACAAUGCACAUGGGAAGCUGUACAGAAAUGAGUGGGGAAAGGUAAUACUUAACAGCAACAGCAGUUAAUAUUUAGUGCCCACUUACGACAUGCUGGACACAGUUCCGGGUACUCUGAACAUAUUCGCUCAUUUAAUCUUUACAACAACCCUAUGAGGUAGGUACUAUUAUUAUCCCCAUUUUCAGGUGAGGAAUCUGAGGCACAGAGAGAGUAAGUAUGUUGCCCAGGGCCACGCACCAAGUAUGUGGUAGGUCCUGGAGUUGAAUGCAG
rnacentral:lncRNA from 1 species